UCUUCCUCCAGCAGAAUCCCAGGCAUACGAGGAGCCUGAGAAGAAGCAGAGAUUGUUUGAAAGGGAUUCAGGACUGCAGACCAGGCAAACAUUCAUGGCUUUGAGAUGUAACAUCGCCAGGAUGGACAGGACACACCUGAUGCUCUCUGCCUCUCUCCAUGGUCCAAAGGAGUUUGUUCUGGGUCCUGAGCAUCCUUUGUGAUCCCCUGGUUCACUUCAGCUGCUGGAGCUCUGCUCU